CCUUAAGCACAUGCUUUUUUGCUGAAAUAUAAACACUCCUGGCAAAACAGUGUUCGUGAAUUUGAUGAAAAAGAUGGAUGCCCAGGACAUCAAAAUGAAGAAUAAGUCAAAAAUACCGAACUUGAACUUAUGAUUCUGUAUACUAAUGAAGAACUCAAUUGGCUGCUUUCCAUGUGCACAAGACAACUGGAGCUCACCAGAAAAACUUAGAAACUCCAAAGAUGGAAAACCAGAUGUAGUCCCUUGGGUUAUGAAUGAGGGUUUUCAAAAAAGAUGUGUGGCAGAGAAAUAUGAAGAAGGUGCUGCACAGUGGUGCUGCUGAAGGAACGGCUGUAAAAGAAGGCAGUGAUUCAGAUUCAGGUACACUGAAGAACCCCAUCAUCAGUAAGCCCUCGGGGGGAUGAAGAACAAAAUGGCUGAAGAGUUUUAUGGAGCGUAUGAGAGAAAAGAUUCCCCCUAUGCAUGUUAAACAGGACAGAGAUGACACAAGGUAUA